rnacentral:rRNA from 12 species
UUUGAGGCCGUGCUGUCCUGUCUGAUCUUGGAAGCUAAGUAGGACCAGGCCUGGUUAGUACUUGAAUGGGAGACCACCUUGGGAGACCAGGGGCUGUUAGAC